rnacentral:rRNA from 1 species
CGAGAGAGGUUUUAGACUUCUCGGCGCUAGGAUGAACGGCUGGCGGCGUGCUUAACACAUGCAAGUGAACGGGGAUUACACGGAGAUGCGAUUUCGGUCAAAUCAAGUGCAAUCUUAGUGGCGGACGGGUGAGUAACGCGUGGGUAACCUGCCUUGCACUGGGGGAUAACACUUAGAAAUAGGUGCUAAUACCGCAUAAGCGCACGGUCCCGCAUGGGACAGUGUGAAAAACUCCGGUGGUGCAAGAUGGACCCGCGUCUGAUUAGCUGGUUGGCGGGGUAAAGGCCCACCAAGGCGACGAUCAGUAGCCGGCCUGAGAGGGUGGACGGCCACAUUGGGGACUGAGACACGGCCCAAACUCCUACGGGAGGCAGCAGUGGGGGGAUAUUGGACAAUGGGGGGAACCCUGAUCCAGCGACGCCGCGUGAGUGAAGAAGUAUUUCGGUAUGUAAAGCUCUGUCAGCAGGGAAGAAAGCAAUGACGGUACCUGACCAAGAAGCCCCGGCUAACUACGUG